rnacentral:rRNA from 1 species
AUUGAACGCUGGCGGCAUGCUUUACACAUGCAAGUCGAACGGUAACAGGCCUUCGGGUGCUGACGAGUGGCGAACGGGUGAGUAAUGCAUCGGAACGUGCCCAGAGGUGGGGGAUAACGCAGCGAAAGCUGUGCUAAUACCGCAUGUGAUCUGAGGAUGAAAGCGGGGGACCAAGCAGCAAUGUUUGGCCUCGCGCCUCUGGAGCGGCCGAUGUCAGAUUAGGUAGUUGGUGGGGUAAAGGCCUACCAAGCUGACGAUCUGUAGCUGGUCUGAGAGGACGACCAGCCACACUGGGACUGAGACACGGCCCAGACUCCUACGGGAGGCAGCAGUGGGGAAUUUUGGACAAUGGGCGCAAGCCUGAUCCAGCAAUGCCGCGUGCGGGAAGAAGGCCUUCGGGUUGUAAACCGCUUUUGUACGGAACGAAAAGGCUCUGGCUAAUACCUGGGGCUGAUGACGGUACCGUAAGAAUAAGCACCGGCUAACUACGUG